GCUCUCUCGGCCUGGAGCUCGAGAGGGCGACGAGUUUCCGGUGGAACGGUGACUGUCGUCCUCGCUUGUGGUUGCAGCCCGAUAAAUUCGUUUAUUCCCAGAGCAACCACAUGCGCACACACGGAGACGCGUCUGCACAAACUACGUGCGUAAUUAUUCGGAAAAGUCAACGGCGACCUAGUGACACGUCGGGCAACUCUCGCGGGCAACAUCGAGAAUUUUUCUGUUCGAUUUCAUGGCUCUCCGAUCUAAAAAUCUUGAGGUAUUCCUUUCGCAUGAGCGUAUUUUUUGGUGGCGCAAACUAAGGCACUCGAAAUUUGGACCGAUUGCUAACCUCUGAGAAGUCGCGGUUACCAUUUUCCAACUUCGAUCGUUAAUAUCUCUUUUAAGCACUCGGUGACGCUUUAUUUUUAUCGUCGCUGUGGUCCUUCAUUUCAUUUCUAUCCGCGAGACAGUUUGAACGAGGAAUUUAGAAUUAUUUGGUACAUGAAUUAUUGAAUAGAAAUGUGGUGACGACGGAAUCUCCGUAAGCUCGCGUAUGAAUUUUACGAUUUUUCAAGUUUUCAUUCUUCAUUAAAUGUUCGCUAACCCGACCUGAAAUUUGGCCAAUCUAUUCGCAUGCACUUUUGCUUUACUGCUGUUUAAAAUCAGUUAUUUGUAGAAUAUUCGGAUUCGUGAAAGGAAUACCUUAAAUAUUGAACGAGCGCUGCUCGCACCCCUUGAGUCGCAGAGUCUUUUAUUCUGCCAGAUUAUUCAGCAGGAAUAACACGCAAUUGUGGUGUCUCGAGUGAAUUUUUAUGAAUUCUGACAGCCCUCGGAGAAGUUUUCAUCAUUCCGAAGGAACCUCGAGGAUAAUGGUCUUGGAUGAAAGUUUUAAACAUGCAUUUAUGCAUUAUACGCGUAUAUUUUCGUUGUGUAUAUUCGGAGGGACAUUGACGACGCGAGAGAGACUGCUGUAGCAACGUUUUUUCUUUUCUUCUGCUUUGUUUUUUAUUUUACUUUCGCCCAGAGGCCGAAAAUUCAUUUACCCCGCGCUUAUACAUUCAACCACUUGUCCUUUAUACGAAAAGUUUUUCCGUUGCCACACUUUCGAGAGAAAAAAUGCCUCUCCUUUCCCAUUUUCAAGCUUCGGUGAAUGCGUGUGUACUCAAAUAUUCAUUACUUUUGUACCUCGCAAAUCACCAAGUACAUUGACACUUUUCUUCUCGACGUGCUAUAUGUAUUGUUUUCUCAAUGUUAAAAGUAUUCCUCCUCGCUCUCUUAGCUAUUCACUCCCUCACUCUCGACCGGAACGCGUAUGGAAACGACGCUUGAAUUAUUCGCUUUGUCGAGUCAUCAUUAGCCCUUCUCCCCCCUCCCACUUGUGGCGAUUCGAAUGUUUCCUUGAGACCGUUUUAAACGACUUUCCACUUGCCUUCGAGCACGGGCCGUAUUUUCAUAGUGUAAUCUCCAGCUUUUGUACGAAAAAUUUCACAUUUUCUAUAAAGUUUCGAAUUUUUAUGAUAAAUUUCGUAUUUUUGUGCAGAAUUUUGCAUUCUCAGGCAAACAAGAAUGAUAAAAAUCCUGCACAUUCACGACCCGAAGCUUCCACUCUUUCGAAACUCAGUGCAAACAGAAAAACAAUCAAAGUCGGAGGAUUAUUCAUUCGCGAUGACGAACAGUGGGGGAAAAAAAAAAUAGAAAAUAUUCAAAUGACGUUGAGCCAGGAUCGAAGGUGUUAAAAGGAUAAUUGAUUUGGACACCGUUCACGAGGCGUGUCGAAGCUUCGAGUACGGCAAACACGACCGAUUGACAGCUUGACGAAUGAACUACGAGUCCGGGAGAGCCGCAUCGCAAUACAAAAAACAUGACUAAUCCACGACAAAUACUUGCUUGAGUGGAAUUAGAAUUCGCUGAGAAAAAUCCUUCAACUAAAUUCGAUGGCACUUCGUCCAUGUUUUCUGAGCAAAUUUUCUCACAGAUUUUCAGUUUUCCGUUUCAUUUUGCAGUCUCUCAGUUUAGUGUGAACUACGGCGGAGGAGCCAAACAUUCGGAUGUUGGUUCUCGAAGAUAUCUGUCAAAAAAAUAACACCACGAAGAAAAAAGGAUGAAAACGACGAUGAUUUUUCCGCGGUAUUUUCCGUAAACACGUAAAUAGGGCGCGAUGAAAAUAAAUCGACUCACAAAUUAUCGAUGUCGAGUGAUAAAAACAUCGAUAAAUAUGCUGUCGAUAAAAAGACUCGGUUCGCGGAACAAAUUUGUGAAAAAUUCGAGGAAAAAUGUGUCAGAAAAAGAUGACAAUUUGGAUCGUUUGUGGAAAAGUUAAAAACACGGUGUGCACUCGCGAGAAAAUAAAUUCGCUGAUUCGAUCAAUUUUUGUGUUCGUUGGAUCCAGGUAAUCGUGGGGAACACACAAAGUUUGUUGAUUCAACAAAACUUUCGUGGAUCCGUCGUCGUUUUAGUCGCAGUGAAAAUGAUUCGUGUGAGCGAGCAAAUAUGCAGCGUGAGCCAACCAAAUAUUUGUUUGGUUUAACGACUUUCGGUUUGUCCGUCGCGCGGCGAUGAGUUGAUCCAACGAAACAUUGUCCAAGGAGCGAAUUCCUUUUCCACGAAGCGCGAGAUAGCUCGACAGCGAAAUAUCCAAGUUCCGUAAUAAUGGUCGCAUUGGCGAGGAGAGCCCCAAAGAACAGAGAAUCAAAGCGAUCGAAGGCAGGUGAUGAGACAAUAAAGAUUCUGACCUCGAUGGAAAAAUGCGAAACGCGGCAGGGAAUGACUUCUGAUGACGGUAACAACGCGGCGUUCCUCCAUCACGCUUUUUUAUCCCGCGUUCGAGUAUUACGACGGAGCAAGUUUAUUUAUUCGGUGAGCAUAAAAAAGAGAAAGAACGAAGACCGAAUGAGGGGAGAAAAAGAAGGCGGCGGCGUGGCAGCGAAGCGUAUCCUCGCGCGACGCGAAAUAAAUUCGAACUAAUGAAUCCGGCGCACUCGUUUCCGUCGCGUCAAAGAGUGCCGUUUUUUCUUAUCUCGAUGAAUUACUCACUCGCCUUUAAUUUAUUAUAGACGUAUAUAAUUUCGAUUGCUCAGCACGUACGAGCCGCGAGGACGUCGAUGCGCGCGUACAUAAAAAAAAAACGCGGAUAGUUGCUCGACUUUUUCGCUCCCGGGGCCGCGUUAAUACGCAAAUAUUUUUAUCCCCCCGCCACGUUCUCCCGUAUAAGCGAAGACGCGGACGCGUCUCUCGCGCCGAGGCGCUUUCGAAGAGGGCGUCGUGCGAGGUGAGAAACAAGACGCGAAGAGAUCUCCGCGCGAACUGGGUGGACGCGACGCGGUUAUAAAUAUUAUUAAAUAACGCGAUCUCCCGUGGAGUUUCUUCAGGGUGCGGAGAGUCUUGGCGCUACGACAACCACACGACCAACACAACGACUACUUUUCUCCUCCGAGUCCUUAACACUCGCGCCAAAAUACCUGAUCAUUUAAAUCACCGGAUUCUUGGGAUGAUUCAAACGUCUCGUUGGACAAUAUUUGGAAGAAGCUCCGAACCCUUGGAAUUAAAUUCGCAUGAUAAUAUUUGAUUUAUUUCCUUAAGGAUGUACGUGUGCGUCGUACUAGUCACUUGACAGUCUUUCCAUAUUUGUCAAAAAGCCCGAUCUUAAUUUUUUAAUCGCAAAUAAUGUUGAGUUCAUUCCAGAGCAUAUUUCAUUCCGAGACUUUCACAUUUUUCGAUAGAACAGUGCGAAUAAACAGCGUUUGACAAGAUGGCCGGUUGACCCCUUUUUUUAACGUGCCAUUGAAUUCCGGGCGAUUCAAUUCAUAUAAGUAAUGUUUUCAAUCUUCGUCAUCUAAUUUAGAAAUUUAUUUCAAAUUUUUUUUUAAAUUAUUGUAUUUUUUUAUUUUGUUUUUUAUUUAAUUAAUAUUAAUAUAAUGAAAUAGUAUUUAUACAAUAAAUAAUAAUUAAAUAUUCAAUUAAAAUGAUUUAGAAAUUUAGAAAUCAAAUUUUGAGUUGAAGGUGGUUGAAGGGAGCAGUAAGUCAUUGUGGCCAUAAGCGACAUGUUAAUUUCUGUACUUUUCGACUGUUAAUAUUCCAAGCAAACAUUUGAAAGGGGUCUUGAAAUUUCGCAAUCAUAGAAAAUAAAUUUUGGAUUGUAAGAGAUAAAAAAAUUAGAGUGCUAUGUAAAAACAGCUCUCGGGCCUUAAAAUGCAUUCUUAAAAUAAAGAUUUUUUCAGCAAGCAUAAUGCUGAGCUUCGAA